CCUGUGCGUUAGCCUUGAGGGUUAAAAAUAAUGCAUUAUCUGUCAAUUCUCCACACUCGAAGUCUUGCUGAUAAACCCAACAGUCUCUAGAAUUCAGGAUUCAGCAUCUACAAAUGGUUACAUUGUUACAUUUCAAACCACUGUUUAGGGCAAGAUUCUGAAAGCAGAUAACAGUCUAUUAAAAAACACUGCUGAGUUAACCCUUUCCCAGCCUAGAUGAGAGUAUAAUGGAGAUCAGUACAAGGCUAUUCCCUUCUAACGAUGUAAAGGCUAUCACCUCCUAGCCAUCUAAAGGUUUUCACUUGAAUGUAAA